rnacentral:rRNA from 1 species
AGUGAACGCUGGCGGUAGGCCUAACACAUGCAAGUCGAACGGUAACAGGUCUUUCGGGAUGCUGACGAGUGGCGGACGGGUGAGGAAUACAUCGGAAUCUGCUCAGUCGUGGGGGAUAACGCAUGGAAACGUGCGCUAAUACCGCAUACGACCUUCGGGUGAAAGCAGGGGAAUCUUUAGGGAUCCUUGCGCGAUUGAAUGAGCCGAUGUCGGAUUAGCUAGUUGGUAGGGUAAAAGCCUACCAAGGCCACGAUCCGUAGCUGGUCUGAGAGGAUGAUCAGCCACACUGGGACUGAGACACGGCCCAGACNCCUGCGGGAGGCAGCAGUGGGGAAUAUUGGACAAUGGGGGCAACCCUGAUCCAGCCAUACCGCGUGGGUGAAGAAGGCCNUCUGGGUUGUAAAGCC